rnacentral:lncRNA from 1 species
GCCUUGAUAGUCUAUGAUAGAGCGUUACUGUUACUGGCACGGAACAUCAUGAUCGUCAUCAUAAGUACACACGUCAUUGUCACAUUAUCAUAUGACUUUUCAAACUUUCCUUUUCUCUUUUUUACGAAUGAAAGCUAGUAUUAUUCUAUAAACUGUUUGCCUUAUAUGUAUGUCCAUUAUAUCAUACUAGUAUAAUUGUAAUUUUAUAUUGUCCAUGUUGUAUGAUUUACUUGUGUCUAAUCCAAUUUGCUUUAAUUCGGCAAAUAAAAUAAUGUUUCAACUAACUCAGUCUAUACUUAUACAUAAUCUACUACUCCCAGGUCUGUAUCAAUUGGAUGUAUUUGCAUUAUUUAAGUUAAAACUAUGUAAUACAGCUUUAUGUCUUAUGCAAUAUAAAGAC